UAAGGAAUAUUGGUCAAUGGACGGAAGUCUGAACCAGCCAUGCCGCGUGAAGGAAGAAGGUGCUAGACAUUGUAAACUUCUUUUGUCGGGGAAGAAAAAGCUCUUGCGGGAGUAAUUGACGGUACUCGAUGAAUAAGCAUCGGCUAACUACGUGCCAGCAGCCGCGGUAAUACGUAGGAUGCGAGCGUUAUCCGGAUUUAUUGGGUUUAAAGGGUGCGUAGGCGGCUGUAUAAGUCGUGGGUGAAAGUCAGAUGCUUAACGUCUGGAUUGCCUGCGAUACUGUACAGCUUGGAUUCGGCGGAGGUAACUGGAAUGUCAGGUGUAGCGGUGAAAUGCAUAGAUACCUGAUAGAACGCCCAUUGCGUAGGCAGGUUACUGUACCGAGAUUGACGCUGAGGCA
rnacentral:rRNA from 1 species